rnacentral:rRNA from 1 species
ACGUAGCGGGUGGACAUGUGGUUUAUUCGAGCACGCGAAGAACCUUACCAGGUCUUGACAUCCUCUGAAAACCCUAGAGAUAGGGCUUCUCCUUCGGGAGCAGAGUGACAGGUGGUGCAUGGUUGUCGUCAGCUCGUGUCGUGAGAUGUUGGGUUAAGUCCCGCAACGAGCGCAACCCUUGAUCUUAGUUGCCAUCAUUAAGUUGGGCACUCUAAGGUGACUGCCGGUGACAAACCGGAGGAAGGUGGGGAUGACGUCAAAUCAUCAUGCCCCUUAUGACCUGGGCUACACACGUGCUACAAUGGACGGUACAAAGAGCUGCAAGACCGCGAGGUGGAGCUAAUCUCAUAAAACCGUUCUCAGUUCGGAUUGUAGGCUGCAACUCGCCUACAUGAAGCUGGAAUCGCUAGUAAUCGCGGAUCAGCAUGCCGCGGUGAAUACGUUCCCGGGCCUGG